UACGAAGGGGGCUAGCGUUGUUCGGAUUUACUGGGCGUCAAGCGCGUGUAGGCGGGCCGUUACGUUGGGGGUGAAAGCCCGAGGCUCAACCUCGGAACUGCCUUCAAAACUGGCGGCCUGGAGCAGAUGAGAGGCGAGUGGAAUUCCGAGUGUAGAGGUGAAAUGCGUAGAUAUGCGGAGGAACACCAGUGGCGAAGGCGACUCGCGGGCAUCUUGCUGACGCUGAGACGCGAAAGCGUGGGGAGCAAACAGG
rnacentral:rRNA from 1 species